UAAUACGUAGGGGGCGAGCGUUGUCCGGAUUCAUUGGGCGUAAAGAGCUCGUAGGCGGUUGGGCAAGUCGGGUGUGAAACCUCCAGGCUCAACCUGGAGUCGCCACCCGAUACUGCCCUGACUCGAGUCCGGUAGGGGAGUGUGGAAUUCCUGGUGUAGCGGUGAAAUGCGCAGAUAUCAGGAGGAACACCAGUGGCGAAGGCGGCACUCUGGGCCGGUACUGACGCUGAGGAGCGAAAGCGUGGGGAGCAAACAGGAUUAGAUACCCUGGUAGUCCACGCCGUAAACGUUGGGCACUAGGUGUGGGGCCUUAUCAACGGGUUCCGUGCCGCAGCUAACGCAUUAAGUGCCCCGCCUGGGGAGUACGGCCGCAAGGCUA
rnacentral:rRNA from 1 species